rnacentral:rRNA from 1 species
GGCUUUCUAUUUCAGUAGGUGGACCUGCGGAGGAUCAUUACCGAGUGAGGGCCCUCUGGGUCCAACCUCCCACCCGUGUUUAUUUUACCUUGUUGCUUCGGCGGGCCCGCCUUAACUGGCCGCCGGGGGGCUCACGCCCCCGGGCCCGCGCCCGCCGAAGACACCCUCGAACUCUGUCUGAAGAUUGAAGUCUGAGUGAAAAUAUAAAUUAUUUAAAACUUUCAACAACGGAUCUCUUGGUUCCGGCAUCGAUGAAGAACGCAGCGAAAUGCGAUACGUAAUGUGAAUUGCAAAUUCAGUGAAUCAUCGAGUCUUUGAACGCACAUUGCGCCCCCUGGUAUUCCGGGGGGCAUGCCUGUCCGAGCGUCAUUGCUGCCCUCAAGCCCGGCUUGUGUGUUGGGCCCCGUCCUCCGAUUUCCGGGGGACGGGCCCGAAAGGCAGCGGCGGCACCGCGUCCGGUCCUCGAGCGUAUGGGGCUUUGUCACCCGCUCUGUAGGCCCGGCCGGCGCUUGCCGAUCAACCCAAAUUUUUAUCCAGGUUGACCUCGGAUCAGGUAGGGAUACCCGCUGAACUUAAGCAUAUCAAUAAGCGGAGGAA